AGUGAACGCUGGCGGUAGGCCUAACACAUGCAAGUCGAACGGCAGCACAGUAAGAGCUUGCUCUUACGGGUGGCGAGUGGCGGACGGGUGAGGAAUACAUCGGAAUCUACUUUUUCGUGGGGGAGAACGUAGGGAAACUUACGCUAAUACCGCAUACGACCUACGGGGGAAAGCAGGGGAUCUUCGGACCUUGCGCGAUUGAAUGAGCCGAUGUCGGAUUAGCUAGUUGGCGGGGUAAAGGCCCACCAAGGCGACGAUCCGUAGUUGGUCUGAGAGGAUGAUCAGCCACACUGGAACUGAGACACGGUCCAGACUCCUACGGGAGGCAGCAGUGGGGAAUAUUGGACAAUGGGCGCAAGCCUGAUCCAGCCAUACCGCGUGGGUGAAGAAGGCCUUCGGGUUGUAAAGCCCUUUUGUUGGGAAAGAAAAGCAGCAGGUUAAUACCCCGCUGUUCUGACGGUACCCAAAGAAUAAGCACCGGCUAACUUCGUG
rnacentral:rRNA from 1 species